UAGGGAAUCUUCGGCAAUGGGGGGAACCCUGACCGAGCAACGCCGCGUGAGUGAAGAAGGUUUUCGGAUCGUAAAGCUCUGUUGUUAAGGAAGAACGUGUGUGAGAGUGGAAAGUUCACACAGUGACGGUACUUAACCAGAAAGGGACGGCUAACUACGUGCCAGCAGCCGCGGUAAUACGUAGGUCCCGAGCGUUGUCCGGAUUUAUUGGGCGUAAAGCGAGCGCAGGCGGUUAGAUAAGUCUGAAGUGAAAGGCAGUGGCUCAACCAUUGUAGGCUUUGGAAACUGUUUAACUUGAGUGCAGAAGGGGAGAGUGGAAUUCCAUGUGUAGCGGUGAAAUGCGUAGAUAUAUGGAGGAACACCGGUGGCGAAAGCGGCUCUCUGGUCUGUAACUGACGCUGAGGCCCGAAAGCGUGGGGAGCGAACAGGAUUAGAUACCCUGGUAGUCCACGCCGUAAACGAUGAGUGCUAGGUGUUAGGUCCUUUCCGGGACUUAGUGCCGCAGCUAACGCAUUAAGCACUCCGCCUAGGGAGUACGACCGCAAGGUUG
rnacentral:rRNA from 1 species